GUGUCAGCAGCCGCGGUAAUACGUAGGAGACGAGCGUUAUCCGGAUUUACUGGGCGUAAAGAGGGCGUAGGCGGUCUUUCAAGUCGGAUGUGAAAUCUCCCGGCUUAACUGGGAGGGGUCAUUCGAUACUGUUGGGCUAGAGGGCAGCAGAGGGAGGUGGAAUUCCCGGUGUAGUGGUGAAAUGCGUAGAUAUCGGGAGGAACACCAGUGGCGAAGGCGGCCUCCUGGGCUGUUUCUGACGCUGAGGCCCAAAAGCGUGGGGAGCGAACAGGAUUAGAUACCCUGGUAGUCCACGCUGUAAACUAUGGACACUAGGUAUGGGGAGUAUCGACCCUCUCCGUGCCGAAGCUAACGCUUUAAGUGUCCCGCCUGGGGACUACGGCCGCAAGGCUAAAACUCAAAUGAAUUGACGGGG
rnacentral:rRNA from 1 species